rnacentral:piRNA from 1 species
GAGGAAGUAUAGACCCUAAGGUUGGGCACGU